UGUUUUAGAUAAAGGAGAGGGCGUCGGCAGAGCCCGCCUCAUCCAGAACUGAUAAAGGAGAGUGCGUCGGCAGAGCCCGCCUCAUCCAGAACUGAUAAAGGAGAGUGUGUCGGCAGAGCCCGCCUCAUCCAGAACUGAUAAAGGAGAGUGCGUCGGCAGAGCCCGCCUCAUCCAGAACUGAUAAAGGAGAGUGCGUCUGCAGAGCCCGCGUCAUCCAGAACUGGUGAGUUUACUGCCCCUUUGUAAAUUGGAUACAACCUGAUGCCUCUUGUAGCUAGGAUGGAUCUCCUCCAGAUCCCAGGGGCCUCCUAUGUUUUCUGGAGUGCUCCAGUUGGAGGGUGUCCUCGGGUGCCUAGGGAGGAUGUUCUGCGGCCUUUGUAAGGCGGACUGCUUCCUGGGGUGACUGCUACACAGUCUGAGUGGUAACAAUUGAGGUGGCGGUGGAUACAUUUGCAGGCAUGAAAUGGAUUCUGCACCAAUUUCCGAGGGGGCAGAAAAACCCAAUCCGUUUUAUUGCUAGGUGAAGGAGUUCGGGGCAAAGGUAGAGCCAGAGCGAAUCUGCACUAUGUCUGGGAAUCCCAAUGACCUUCAGCCCUUACAGAUGACUGAUAUAGGCCAACCUUUCAGUCGUUUGUGGAAAGAACUUGCAUUGCCAUCACCAAGAUAAAGGAGAGUUCCUUGGCAGAGCCCGCCUCAUCCAGAACAGGUGAGUUUACUGCCCCUUUGUAAAUUGGAUACAACCUGAUGCCUCUUCUAGCUAGGAUGGAUCUCCUCCAGAUCCCAGGGGCCUCCUAUGUUUUCUGGAGUGCUCCAGUUGGAGGGUAUCCUCGGGUGCCUAGGGAGGAUGUUCUGCAGCCUUUGUAAGGCGGACUGCUUCCUGGGCUGACUGCUACCCAGUCUGAGUGGUAACAAUUGAGGUGGUGGUGGAUAGAUUUGCAGGCAUGAAAUGGAUUCUGCACCAAUUUCAGAGGGGGCAGAGAAACCCAAUCCAUUUUAUUGCUAGGUGAAGGAGUUCGGGGCAAGGGUAGAGCCAGAGCGAAUCUGUACUAUGUCUGGGAAUCCCAAUGACCUUCAGGCCUUACAGAUGACUGAUAUAGGCCAACCUUUCAGUCGUUUGUGUAAAGACCUUGCAUUGCCAUCACCAAGGAAAGUCGAAUCCGUCUCUUAUUCAGGAGUUCAACAAAGCAUUCUAGAAGUAGAGAGAACUUGGAAGUGAACACUUAGAAAGAUAAUUGAAAGUGUCUUGAAAGUGUCUCUCCAAUUACUGCUCUGCAGAGAAUCGGUGGCCAUUCGAUGUGGAUUUUCCAAAGUUGAUUGCCAAUUCAGACAUUUUUCCACAGCUUUUAGCCAUCCCAAGAAAUAAUGUGAGCAAUUUCCGUCCAUGGGGGCUAUUCCAACGUGGAAAUUGUCCAUCUAGAAGGCAUCCAAAAUAACCUUGGGAAUAACUAAUUAUUCAUCUACACCAAAUCCUCGGGGAGAGAAAUGAUUAAAAAAUAGCAUGGUGUCCUUGACGUGGACCCAAAUUCCCAAUGGGACCAUUCCCAUUUGGGAGAUGAAGGGGCAUAUAAAGAAGUUUCGUAUAGACUGUCCCAAUUCCUUAGCUGGU